UGACUGGGAUGGCUGCAGAGUU
rnacentral:miRNA from 1 species